rnacentral:rRNA from 1 species
UGCAGUCGAGCGGUAGAGGCCUUCUGCCUUGAGAGCGGCGAACGGGUGCGUAACACGUGAACAAUCUGCCCUGAAGUCCGGGAUAUCCUCUGGAAACGGAGAUUAAUACCGGAUGUGGUAUGGUUCCCGCAUGGGGAUCACACCAAAGCUUGGGAUGGCGCUUCAGGAGGGGUUCGCGGCCUAUCAGCUAGUUGGCGGGGUAAUGGCCCACCAAGGCGAAGACGGGUAGCUGGUCUGAGAGGAUGAUCCCCCACACUGGAACUGAGACACGGUCCAAACACCUACGGGUGGCAGCAGUUUCAAAUCAUUCACAAUGGGGGCAACCCUGAUGGUGCGACGCCGCGUGGAGGAAAAAGGUCUUCGGAUUGUAAACUCCUGUCGAGGGGGAGUAAACGCCUGUUGCAUAUUCGGGCUUGAAUUAACCCCUAAAGGAAGCAGUGGCUAACUCUGUGCCAGCAGCCGCGGUAAUACAGAGACUGCGAGCGUUACUCGGAUUCACUGGGCGUAAAGGGAGCGCAGGCGGGCGGAUGUGUUGGAUGUGAAAUACCGGGGCUUAACUCCGGUGCUGCGUCUGACACUAUCCGUCUAGAGACUCGGAGGGGUGAAUGGAAUUCCUGGUGGAGCAGUGAAAUGCGUAUAUAUCAGGAGGAACACCGACUGCGAACGGCUUUCACUGGACUAUAUCUGACUCUCACGCUCGAAAGCAUGUGUAGCAAAGGGAUUAUAUACCCCUGUACUCCAUGCUGUAAACGAUGCACACUAUGUCUUGGGCAUUCGAUCGCCUCAGAGCUUGAGUAACACAUUACUCUGCGCCUGAUGACUACGCCGCAAGCUAAACUCAUGGAAGUGACGGGGCCCGCACAGCAGUGAGCAUGUAGUCUAAUUCAUGCANGACGCAUGACCUGACCUGAUUUGACUGAAG